GCCGCGGGGCGCAGCGUUCGUGCCACUCGUCCGCGCAACUCUCUCCGCACACCGCAACUUACGUUCGCCAGACGGGCACGCGUGGAUCACCAGUGACGAUUGGAUUUCCAACUUGUGAAUAAAUAAUAGUUCCACAUUAUGAUAAGUGACAUGUGCAAUUAGUUAAGUGCAAACAAAUAUUCAGUGCAUUGUUGUUGAAGCCGGUUCACCUCGUGAGCGAGGCCGGUUCCGAGUGCCGGUCGCAGUGCCUGUGCCCCUCCGACUUGUGCUUUCUAAACGAAUCCCAAGCGAGCGUUAACUGUUCGCUUGCUACGUGAUCCUUAACACUUAUUUGGAUUUUAAAACGAACAGACGGCGGGCGGCGGCCGGCGCGCGAUGAGGUAGCGCCGCGGCGCGCGCGCAGCCCACACUCACCGCUCCCGCGACGCGCGCCUACACACACUAUAUGAGAACUCCAAAAACGCGAUGCUUGGUGCGCGAGCGUGGCUGGUGCUGGCGGCGGUGGCGUGGUGCGCGCGCGCCGGGCCCGG